rnacentral:lncRNA from 1 species
AUCAUCAUCUCACAUAAAGUUCAACAUCAUCAUGUCACAAAUAUCACAUAAAGUUCAAUAUGACAACACAUAUCAUGAUUAUCUCAAGAACAUCAUCUAAUGAACACAAGUAGAAACUUAAAGAACAUCAUCAAAACUCGACGAAGCAGUAGUCGAGUCACCAGUCCCCUACAUGUUUGAGAAAAGAUUGUAAGGAUAAAUAUAAUAUGAUAGUGUUGAUUGAAUGAGAGCUAGUUUGUCAAUAGUUAGGUAAAUGUACUAACCGGAGUCUGACUGCAUAGUGCCACCCAUUCAUCGAACGUGGGUACAUGUGGGGGUUCUCCAGCAGGUGGUGGUGGGGGUCCCAUUUGUGGUGGCUCCGCGCGGUUAUUCCAAGACGCCACUAUAGCCUGGAUGUUAGUUAACCAAGCAAACUAGAAGGUCAGAAGGAAUGAAAGUGCAAAUUUUAGCUUGGUUUGAAGAGGGCAAAACUAACCGCCAUCAUCUCAAAGUUGUAAUUCACGUUUGCCUACAUUAGGCGCAUGUACUCCCGC